CUAUACAUGACUCUGCGCAUAUCAAUAAGCGGAGGAAAAGAAACUAACAAGGAUUCCCCUAGUAACGGCGAGUGAAGCGGGAAGAGCUCAAAUUUGAAAUCUUAAAGGGUUUCCCUUUACGAAUUGUAGUUUAAAGAAGUGUUUUCUGUUGAGGUUUUGGUAAAAGUUCUUUGGAAUAGGACAUCAUAGAGGGUGAGAAUCCCGUAUUUGACCUUUACUUUCAACUUUGUGAUACACUUUCAAAGAGUCGGAUUGUUUGGGAAUGCAGUCCAAAAUGGGUGGUAAAUUUCAUCUAAAGCUAAAUAUUGGCUGAGAGACCGAUAGCGAACAAGUACCGUGAGGGAAAGAUGAAAAGAACUUUGAAAAGAGAGUUAAACAGUACGUGAAAUUGUCAAAAGGGAAGCGUUUGACACCAGUGUUGUUUUUCUGAAAAUCAAUUAAAGAACUGUUUAUGCUAAGUUGUUUAGACUUUAUCAGCUAACUGUUUAGUUUUGAGCUUUUCUUUAAUGCACUUUUCAGUUAACAAGUCAACAUCAAUUUCUUUUGCCGUAAAAAAGCUUGAGGAAGGUGGCUUGAGAUUCGUCUUAAGUGUUUAUAGCCUCUUGCCUAUGCAGUCGGAGAGAUUGAGGUCUGCAGCGUAGAUCCUUCGGGGCUAAAUGCAUUUGUGCUAAGUUAUAGCAUUUUAUAGACAACUUGUUGACUAUGAUUUGUCUUGUAGCUUACUCGCUUAUGUUAUUUUACCUACGCUUAGGAUGUUGAGCGCAUGUCUCUCUCU
rnacentral:rRNA from 1 species